rnacentral:rRNA from 1 species
UCGCUAGUAAUCGCAGAUCAGAAUGCUGCGGUGAAUACGUUCCCGGGUCUUGUACACACCGCCCGUCACACCAUGGGAGCCAGGAAUGCCCGAAGCCAGUGGCCUGACCGCAAGGGAGGAGCUGUCGAAGGCAGGCCCGGUAACUGGGGUGAAGUCGUAACAAGGUAUC